rnacentral:rRNA from 1 species
AUUGAACGCUGGCGGCAUGCUUUACACAUGCAAGUCGAACGGCAGCGCGGGCUUCGGCCUGGCGGCGAGUGGCGAACGGGUGAGUAAUGCAUCGGAACGUGCCCAGUAGUGGGGGAUAGCCCGGCGAAAGCCGGAUUAAUACCGCAUACGACCUGAGGGUGAAAGCGGGGGACCGAAAGGCCUCGCGCUAUUGGAGCGGCCGAUGUCGGAUUAGCUAGUUGGUGGGGUAAAGGCCUACCAGGGCGACGAUCCGUAGCUGGUCUGAGAGGACGACCAGCCACACGGGAACGGAGCCCGGCACAGGGCUCCUGCGGGAGGCACCAGUGGGGAAUGUGGGACAGUGGGGGCAACCCUGACCCCGCCGUGCGGGGUGGGGGAAAAAGGCCUGGGGGUUGUAAGCCUGUUUUGUGGGGGAAAAAACCCUGGGGGCUAAUCCCCGGGGGGGAUGACGGUACCGGAAAAAAAAGCCCCGGCUAACUACGUG